UACGAAGGGGGCUAGCGUUGCUCGGAAUCACUGGGCGUAAAGGGUGCGUAGGCGGGUUUUUAAGUCAGGGGUGAAAUCCUGGAGCUCAACUCCAGAACUGCCUUUGAUACUGAAGAUCUUGAGUCCGGGAGAGGUGAGUGGAACUGCGAGUGUAGAGGUGAAAUUCGUAGAUAUCGGGAAGAAUACCGGCGGCGAAGGCGGCCAACUGGACGAAGACUGACGCUGAGACACGAAAGCGUGGGGAGCAAACAGG
rnacentral:rRNA from 1 species